GCAAGGAUCGGAAUUAAACCUGUUGUAUCCAAGGCUCAGAAUGAAUGAAUCAAAUCUCUUAUACCAACAUCUCGGCACCUGUUUGAGACCGUACAGAGAUUUGGUCAACCUGCAAACCAAGUUCUGAUUCCCUUU